rnacentral:tRNA from 1 species
GACUCGUUAGCUCAGGCGGUAGAGCAACUGACUUUUAAUCAGUGGGUCGUAGGUUCGAGUCCUACACGAGUCACCA